GACGAACGCUGGCGGCGUGCCUAAUACAUGCAAGUAGAACGCUGAAGAGAGGAGCUUGCUCUUCUUGGAUGAGUUGCGAACGGGUGAGUAACGCGUAGGUAACCUGCCUUGUAGCGGGGGAUAACUAUUGGAAACGAUAGCUAAUACCGCAUAAUAAUGGAUGACACAUGUCAUUUAUUUGAAAGGGGCAAUUGCUCCACUACAAGAUGGACCUGCGUUGUAUUAGCUAGUAGGUGAGGUAACGGCUCACCUAGGCGACGAUACAUAGCCGACCUGAGAGGGUGAUCGGCCACACUGGGACUGAGACACGGCCCAGACUCCUACGGGAGGCAGCAGUAGGGAAUCUUCGGCAAUGGGGGCAACCCUGACCGAGCAACGCCGCGUGAGUGAAGAAGGUUUUCGGAUCGUAAAGCUCUGUUGUAAGUCAAGAACGAGUGUGAGAGUGGAAAGUUCACACUGUGACGGUAGCUUACCAGAAAGGGACGGCUAACUACGUG
rnacentral:rRNA from 1 species